rnacentral:rRNA from 1 species
AACGAACGCUGGCGGCAGGCUUAACACAUGCAAGUCGAGCGCCCCGCAAGGGGAACGGCAGACGGGUGAGUAACGCGUGGGAAUCUACCCAUCUCUACGGGAUAACGCAUGGAAACGUGUGCUAAUACCGUAUACGUCCUUCGGGAGAAAGAUUUAUCGGAGAUGGAUGAGCCCGCGUUGGAUUAGCUAGUUGGUGGGGUAAAGGCCUACCAAGGCGACGAUCCAUAGCUGGUCUGAGAGGAUGAUCAGCCACACUGGGACUGAGACACGGCCCAGACUCCUACGGGAGGCAGCAGUGGGGAAUAUUGGACAAUGGGCGCAAGCCUGAUCCAGCCAUGCCGCGUGAGUGAUGAAGGCCCUAGGGUUGUAAAGCUCUUUCACCGGUGAAGAUAAUGACGGUAACCGGAGAAGAAGCCCCGGCUAACUUCGUGCCAGCCGCCGCGGUAAUAC